GAUGAACGCUAGCUACAGGCUUAACACAUGCAAGUCGAGGGGCAUCACAGUGUAGCAAUACACGGGUGGCGACCGGCGCACGGGUGCGUAACACGUAUCCAAUCUGCCCGUUACUCGGGGAUAGCCUUCUGAAAGGAAGAUUAAUACCCGAUGGCAUGUAUUUCCGGCAUCGGAGAUACAUUAAAGAUUUAUCGGUAACGGAUGAGGAUGCGUACGAUUAGCUUGUUGGCGGGGUAACGGCCCACCAAGGCGACGAUCGUUAGGGGUUCUGAGAGGAAGGUCCCCCACACUGGAACUGAGACACGGUCCAGACUCCUACGGGAGGCAGCAGUGAGGAAUAUUGGUCAAUGGGCGCGAGCCUGAACCAGCCAAGUAGCGUGAAGGAUGACUGCCCUACGGGUUGUAAACUUCUUUGUUUGGGAAUAAAAGACGCUACGUGUAGCGUUCUGCAUGUACCUUACGAAUUAAGCAUCGGCUAAUCCGUGCCAGCAGCCG
rnacentral:rRNA from 1 species